rnacentral:rRNA from 1 species
GAACGAGAAAGUGGAGCAAUCCAUGAGUAAAGUGGCGACCGGGUGAGUAACACGUGACUAACCUGCCCUUGAGUGGGGGAUAACCUCGGGAAACCGGGGCUAAUACCGCAUAACAUCGAGAGAUCAAAGCAACAAUGCGCUUGAGGAGGGGGUCGCGUCUGAUUAGCUAGUUGGUAGGGUAACGGCCUACCAAGGCGAUGAUCAGUAGCCGGCCUGAGAGGGCGCACGGCCACACUGGAACUGAAACACGGUCCAGACUCCUACGGGAGGCAGCAGUGGGGAAUUUUGCGCAAUGGGGGAAACCCUGACGCAGCAACGCCGCGUGGAGGAUGAAGUCCCUUGGGACGUAAACUCCUUUCGAUCGGGACGAUUAUGACGGUACCGGAAGAAGAAGCCCCGGCUAACUUCGUG